rnacentral:rRNA from 1 species
CAGAGGCCUCAAGCGUUAGGCGGAAUCACUGGGCUUAAAGCGUGUGUAGGCGGACCCGUCAGUGUCUUGUGAAAUCCCACCGCUCAACGGUGGAACGGCUGGGCAUACUGCGGGUCUUGAGGGACCCAGGGGCGAGCGGAACAAGCGGUGGAGCGGUGAAAUGCGUAGAUAUCGCUUGGAACGCCGACGGUGAAAACAGCUCGCUGGGGGUCACCUGACGCUGAGACACGAAAGCCAGGGGAGCGAACGGG